GAUGAACGCUGGCGGCGUGCCUAAUACAUGCAAGUCGAGCGAACGGACGAGAAGCUUGCUUCUCUGAUGUUAGCGGCGGACGGGUGAGUAACACGUGGAUAACCUACCUAUAAGACUGGGAUAACUUCGGGAAACCGGAGCUAAUACCGGAUAAUAUUUUGAACCGCAUGGUUCAAAAGUGAAAGACGGUCUUGCUGUCACUUAUAGAUGGAUCCGCGCUGCAUUAGCUAGUUGGUAAGGUAACGGCUUACCAAGGCAACGAUGCAUAGCCGACCUGAGAGGGUGAUCGGCCACACUGGAACUGAGACACGGUCCAGACUCCUACGGGAGGCAGCAGUAGGGAAUCUUCCGCAAUGGGCGAAAGCCUGACGGAGCAACGCCGCGUGAGUGAUGAAGGUCUUCGGAUCGUAAAACUCUGUUAUUAGGGAAGAACAUAUGUGUAAGUAACUGUGCACAUCUUGACGGUACCUAAUCAGAAAGCCACGGCUAACUACGUGCCAGCAGCCGCGGUAAUACGUAGGUGGCAAGCGUUAUCCGGAAUUAUUGGGCGUAGAGCGCGCGUAGGCGGUUUUUUAAGUCUGAUGUGAAAGCCCACGGCUCAACCGUGGAGGGUCAUUGGAAACCGGAAAACUUGAGUGCAGAAGAGGAAAGUGGAAUUCCAUGUGUAGCGGUGAAAUGCGCAGAGAUAUGGAGGAACACCAGUGGCGAAGGCGACUUUCUGGUCUGUAACUGACGCUGAUGUGCGAAAGCGUGGGGAUCAAACAGGAUUAGAUACCCUGGUAGUCCACGCCGUAAACGAUGAGUGCUAAGUGUUAGGGGGUUUCCGCCCCUUAGUGCUGCAGCUAACGCACUAAGCACUCCGCCUGGGGAGUACGACCGCAAGGUUGAAACUCAAAGGAAUUGACGGGGACCCGCACAAGCGGUGGAGCAUGUGGUUUAAUUCGAAGCAACGCGAAGAACCUUACCAAAUCUUGACAUCCUUUGACAACUCUAGAGAUAGAGCCUUCCCCUUCGGGGGACAAAGUGACAGGUGGUGCAUGGUUGUCGUCAGCUCGUGUCGUGAGAUGUUGGGUUAAGUCCCGCAACGAGCGCAACCCUUAAGCUUAGUUGCCAUCAUUAAGUUGGGCACUCUAAGUUGACUGCCGGUGACAAACCGGAGGAAGGUGGGGAUGACGUCAAAUCAUCAUGCCCCUUAUGAUUUGGGCUACACACGUGCUACAAUGGACAAUACAAAGGGCAGCGAAACCGCGAGGUCAAGCAAAUCCCAUAAAGUUGUUCUCAGUUCGGAUUGUAGUCUGCAACUCGACUACAUGAAGCUGGAAUCGCUAGUAAUCGUAGAUCAGCAUGCUACGGUGAAUACGUUCCCGGGUCU
rnacentral:rRNA from 1 species